GCUCCUGUAGUGUAGCGGCCAAUCAUGUCGCCCUUUCGAGGCGACGACUCGGGUUCGAAUCCCGACAGGAGCA
rnacentral:tRNA from 1 species